GGCUGCACACUGAUCGUCGAGGAUACACUUUAUGUACCAUGAAUUCGACGGAACUUAAUAUCAGUAGUAGCUUUAGUUAGAGUUGGGUAUUCUUUUUCCUUCGACAGUAGUAUCGUAUCUAUUUAUUUUCAUAAUGAUUUUUUUGGACAUGGUAUUUUAUCAGAUGGUUUUUAUGUUUUGAAUAAAGGUGAAUCCCAUUUUUCUUA
rnacentral:lncRNA from 1 species